rnacentral:rRNA from 1 species
UACGUAGGUGACAAGCGUUGUCCGGAUUUACUGGGCGUAAAGAGCGCGCAGGCGGUCGAUCAAGUCGAGUGUGAAAGCCCCCGGCUCAACUGGGGAGGGUCAUUCGAUACUGAUCGACUCGAAGGCAGGAGAGGGUAGUGGAAUUCCCGGUGUAGUGGUGAAAUGCGUAGAUAUCGGGAGGAACACCAGUGGCGAAGGCGACUACCUGGCCUGUUCUUGACGCUGAGACGCGAAAGCGUGGGGAGCGAACAGG